UAAUACGUAGGGUGCAAGCGUUGUCCGGAAUUAUUGGGCGUAAAGAGCGUGUAGGCGGCCCGAUUAGUCCGCUGUGAAAGUCCAGGGCUCAACCCUGGAAUGCCGGUGGAUACUGUCGGGCUAGAGUCCGGAAGGGGCGAGUGGAAUUCCUGGUGUAGCGGUGAAAUGCGCAGAUAUCAGGAGGAACACCAAUG
rnacentral:rRNA from 1 species